UACGGGGGGGGCAAGCGUUGUUCGGAAUUACUGGGCGUAAAGGCUCGUAGGCGGCCAACUAAGUCAUACGUGAAAUCCCUCGGCUUAACCGGGGAACUGCGUCUGAUACUGGAUGGCUUGAGUUCGGGAGAGGGAUGCGGAAUUCCAGGUGUAGCGGUGAAAUGCGUAGAUAUCAGGAGGAACACCAGCGGCGAAGGCGGCGCUCUGGGCCGGUACUGACACUGAGGAGCGAAAGCGUGGGUAGCAAACAGG
rnacentral:rRNA from 1 species